CCCAUUACUCAUCUCUCUCUUCCGUGAGAGGCGGCGAUAGCGGCAGCGACGCAUCCAGUAGAAAGGUCGGCGAGAGGAUAUUUGAAGGUCACCGUGAGCACAUCUAGCAGCACAACUCCUUCAAUUGAGAUGGACAGAAAAAUAAAGAUGUUAAUUUAUGCGGUUGCGGCACAAUGGUUUAUCAACAUGAUAACAUUGGUUGUUCAAUCCAGAAAAAGAAAAAGAAGAGAAGCAAUUACGUAUGCCCCAAUUGAUGAGAGAGAUAGGAUGAGAAGAGAGUAUUUUGACAACAAAAUAUGGAAGAAUGACACAACUUGUGUGAACAUGCUUAGGCUUCGGAGAGAACCUUUCUUUAGGUUUUGUCAACUGUUUAGGGAUCGCAACUUGCUAAAUGACACAAUACACUUGACUGUUGAGCAACAACUAGCAAUGUUCCUGCACACCGUUGGGCACAACAUUAGAAAUAGGGUAAUUGGCGCCAAUUUUGGUAGAUCUGGUGAAGUCGUGAGCCAUUACUUCAAAACGGUACUCCAUGCCAUUGGUGAGCUUCGAGAUGACCUUAUUAGGAAGCCUUCAUUGGAGACCCAAACCAAAAUAGAAGGAAACUAUCGGUGGGAUCCAUACUUUAAGGAUUGUAUUGGAGCUAUCGAUGGCACACAUGUGCGAGCCUCUGUUACACCAGAUAUGGAGGCUGCCUUUCGUGGUAGAAAGACUUAGGCAUGAUGCUUUAGAACGUGAGAAUGGUCUACGUGUCCCACAAGGAAAUGGCUAAGCAAGUUUCAUGGUCACCUACCAUGUCCAAGUUCAUGCUAACAUGGUUAAGUGAUUUGGUCUCUAGUGGCAAUAGAACAAGUACUGCAUUCUAGCAAUCACAGCUCAACAAUUGUGCCAUUGCUUUGAAUGAGCAUUUCCAACUUAGCUUGAAUGGAGAUCAGAUAAAAAAUCAUAAUAGGACAUGGAAGAGGAAACUGUAGAAAAUAGUGAAACUCAAGGAGUUGAGUGGUGCACUAUGGGAUGAGGACAAGUCUAUGAUUGUUCUUGAUCAUGAGCAUUGCACAAAUCAUGUUAAGGCUCAUCCAGAGGACGAACAAUACCUUAACAAGACUAUUAUUCAUUAUAAGGAGAUGGUGAAUAUAGCUGGAGGGAGCAUGGCUACAGGGCAAUAUGCAAAAGACUCAAGUGACCCUCUUGCUACAGAAGUGGUUAAUCUUGAAGAAGAGACAACCAAGAAACCCAUUGCCCCACAUGAAGAGGUUGCACAAUCAACCAAUGCAGGUUCAUCCGGUCCCAAACCAAAAAAAGCCAAACCAAAUCCUUGUGCGGAAGAUAGGUUACACGCCACCAUACUUGCAUCUAGUGAAAGAAUUGCUAUUGCGAUAGAGAAGAGUUCUAGCACCGAGAACAAUGCCAUAGAUGGUCUUUGGGAGAGCAUGAAAGUACUCCCUGGGUUUAGUUUGGAUUACCUUGCUCAUUACUAUGCAUAUUUGGUUGACAAUCCUCGUGUUGCAAUGGCAUUCAAGGUGUUGGAAGAUGAUAAAAAGAAGGUUUGGGUUUCUAGGUAUGUCAAGAGUACCUUUCCUGAAGUGUGAGGGUGGUGGGUGCAUAUGUAGUGAACUGGUGAUUGACUUGUACUUUUGAUGCAACCAAAACAGUAACUAUGGGUUGUAUGGAUUAGCUCUUUUCACAACCGAGACCAUAACUAUGGGUUGUGUAACUAUUAAGUUCUAGUAGUACUCUAUGGAAUGUUGAACUAUGAGUUAUGUGCACCUGACUUAUGUAUGGAAUGUUGAGCUUAUGUGAUG